UCAAGCGCGAGCUUGGUGUUGGGGACCGCCCCGGGAGACCGGCGGCGGCCCUUGAAUCCAUCGGCGGUGCUGGUAGCAGCCCGGAGCGCAGCAGACAUGCGGCUUCCCGGGCGGCCCGGCGCCCGCCGGACAACGACGAGACCCCCCAAACGUCGACCUCGAAUCAGGUAGGGAUACCCGCUGAACUUAAGCAUAUCAAUAAGCGGAGGAAAAGAAACCAACAGGGAUUGCCUCAGUAACGGCGAGUGAAGCGGCAGCAGCUCAAAUUUGAAAUCUGGCGCCCCCCGGCGUCCGAGUUGUAAUUUGCAGAGGAUGCUUCGGCGUAGGCGCCGCCCAAAGUUCCUUGGAACGGGACGUCGCAGAGGGUGAGAGCCCCGUGUUCGGGCGGAUGCCUUCGCCGUGUGAAGCUCCUUCGACGAGUCGAGUUGUUUGGGAAUGCAGCUCAAAACGGGAGGUAAAUUUCUUCCAAAGCUAAAUACCGGCCGGAGACCGAUAGUGCACAAGUAGAGUGAUCGAAAGAUGAAAAGCACUUUGGAAAGAGAGUCAAACAGCGCGUGAAAUUGUUGAAAGGGAAGCGCUUGCGGUCAGAACUUGGCCGCCGUUGCUCGGGGAGGCCUCGCGCCUCCCUCGCUCUUCGGCGGCUGGGCCAGCAUCGGUUCGGGCGGCUCGAGAAAGGCCGCGGGAACGUAGCUCCCUCCGGGGAGUGUUAUAGCCCGCGGCGCAAUGGGGCCCGCCCGGAUCGAGGU
rnacentral:rRNA from 1 species